UUUUACUGCUAUUUAGAAAUGAGAGUUGGGUGUACAGACAGAGGUACGAACAGGGAUAAAUGUGAGAUUACAAAAAGUUCCGCUUUUGUUUUCUCAAUUUUAUUCCUACCUUUUAUGACAAGAGCUUUGCCAAUUGGGGGUUUAACGGUAAUUACAGACGUUCCUUUGUAAAUAUCGAAACCUUACCAUAAUUCUAACAGUAUUCUUCAUAAACGAGCCCAGUUUUCAAUUCUCUGCUUUGCCUGCAAUCGCUCUUUCACUAUUUUCAUCGGAAGUUGCUGAAUCUGAGAGGAUAAUUAUUUGUUACUUCGCUUAGCUUUCCGGUAUUCUUUUUCCCUCUUUCUUUUUUAAUUUUUUUUGGUGGAUUUCAUAGGUGAAUUUUUUAUUCCUGUCUUUAUUAGCCAUGUCUAUAUUAGGGGUUCUGUGUUUCUGGUUUGAUUUAAUCUAUGCAUGUUUGGAAAUUGAUACUUAGAUGCAUGAUUUUGAACAUUUGAUAAAUACAAAUCUAACAUUUUAAAUAAAACUUAACCUCAAAAAUUACUCCUAGAAGAACUCGACAAAAUUAUUCUCCUUUUCCACUUUUCGUCUCCUUUGGUUGAUUCUAAGUUCUAGCAACUGGUGGUUUUUUCGUUUUUUUGGGUUUCACCAUAUUCUGAGAUUUGGUAGUUUUGGUCUUUCACUGAUCUGUUUGAACAGUCUUAGCACUUUUCCGGAUUUUUUACAUUUUUUUUUUAAUUUUCUUUUUUGUUCUUUUCUGCUCUGUUCAUAGCCAAACAUAUAUGCAAAGGCUUUACAACAUUUUAAACAAGUAUUUCAGUAAUGAAUAUGGUUGAAGUUCUUGAUUGUCCCUUAGUCGACCCCUUCAUUUAAUGGGUAUUUUCCGAUUCAUCGAGAAGUUGAUAGAACAAUAAUGAAUAUAGAAAUUAUUGCAUAGCAGUCGUUCUAAUGGGUUCAUUGUCUUUGCUGCGAGUAUUGUUACUUUUGGAUGAAAAAGAACAUCAUGAAACCAGAUAAGAAAUUUGUCCAUAUAUAUUUUAUUGCCUUUUCCAACUAUUUGACCACAAACCAUUCAAACGCCGGUAAUUUAUAUUACUUGGAACAAUUCAUUAGUUAGGUUUGUAAUUUAUUAUUUUUGCAUAUUUGUAUGAAUGGAUAUUUAGGUGUGGUAGGCUCAUAUACAAAGUGUUUGAUUUCUGGUUUCUGUUUGUCCUUCUACUUUAUAUAACUCACUAAUAUCUAUUCUUGCACUUGGUGUGUACCUGCUUUUUUCAGCAUCUCAAAAUCUCACUAUCUUGUGGUUUUUGGAAUUCAAAAGAUUGGCUACUAAGGUUGGUACUAGAGCUCCAGUUCAGUGGCUCUGCCAGAAUUGAGGCUUAUGCAGGGGUACAUGGGACACCGCUUCGUCAAACAGAAAAACACGAUAAUACCAUUAAAAGAGAUACCACUUGCAAUAAAACAUCUUAGUAGUCUGGUGGUGGUUAGCUUCAAGUAUUAUGUGAGGUAAACUCCCUUGGCUCCAUAAUUUUUUUUUGACUGUUACAGCCCUACACCACUUAAUGAAAAAUUCUGCGUAGUUGUGUUGUGCUGAAGAUACAAACAAUUUAUGUAUUUUUUCGGUAUUAUGUCUGUAAUGUUUAUGUCAAUGGUUUCACUAGACAGUGUACUUAUGCCUUCACUUGCGGUAUAUACAAAGUAUGAAAUAGCAAAUAUUGUUGUGCUCUUGUGCAAAAUUACUUUAGAUGCUUAAUUAUUGGAAGAAAGAUGACUCUGGCAAGUACUGAAUCAUCGCCAGUGCAUCUUUGAAGCCUAACACCCAAAUUUUAUAAAUAACUUCAUGUAUUAUGCGAACAAAAAUCCAUUUCCUUUUCCUUUAAUUAACUGUAGAAGCUUACUGCCAAAUUUUAUAAAUAACUUCAUAUAUUAUGCGAACAAAAAUCCAUUUCCUUUUCCUUUAAUUAACUGUAGAAGCUUACUGUUGGGCUUGGGCCGGUGGUUAGCACCGGCAUUCCCUGCUAGUAUAUUUAUAGCACACAGUUCCAUUAAAAUGGGAUUAGUUCUCCCUUUUUUUCUCUCUUCAAAUUUCCCUCUUUACAUAUUUCCCCCUUCUAAAUUUGUUCCAUUCGUAUUUUUUCUUCUUAAUUGACUUUCUAAAGUUUUUCUUUGCCCUCUUUCUUCCUUUUCAAAAAUUUAUAGCUCUUUAUUUUGAUAUUAAUUUACAUUAAUAUAUGCAAAAGGUAUACAUAGAACAUACACCUUGAAUUAAGAUAUACCAAAGGUAUACAUAAAAAAUAUAUCUUAAUUAAGAUUGCAUCUAACAUAUAAAAUAUAGAUAACAAUACAUCUUACAUAAGAGAUGACUUAUAUGUAUACAUAAAAAUACAUCCUGAAUUAAGAUUGCACUUGACAUAUAUAAUAUACAAAAAUAUACUCUAAAAAUACAUCUUAAAUUAAGAUGACACUAAAAAUUAAAAUACACAAAAUAUAUACAUAAAAAGUACAUCUUGAAUUGAAGUGGCACUUGAUAUUGUUGGUAUAUUUAGGAAAUAAUUCUCGUAUAUUUCAUACUUGAUUAGCAAUAUAUAGUUAUAUAAAUGACAAUAUGAUGGUACAAUAUAUAUGUGCAUCUGUGUAUAUUUUUUAGAAAAUAUUUCUGGUAUAUAAUAUAAAAUGUAUUAUUUGGAAAAAAAUGUUUUUGAGUAUAGAACUGAUUUAUUUAUGUUAAUAAAUAUGAAUAUUUUGAGAAUGAUAUAUUAAAGUCUCUCAUUCCUAAAUUUAAGGGUCAUUGAUUAUUUUUUAAAAAGUUGCUUGUGCGUAAACAAACAUGAAGUAUGCUAUAAUUGUUAAUAAAUUUGUUGUUUUUGGUUUAAACUAAAAUGAAUGCCAUUUAUUUAAAUAAUUCUUGAAUAAUGACCAACAGUGUAAAAAUUGUUGUUGUUGUUGUUGUUGUGUGUAGUUGAUGUUAUAUUCUUACUAGGGGUAUGUGUAUACAUAGGAGCAGAGAGGUUUACUAAGUAGGAAUGUCAUACUCUGGCCAUUUCUGUAACUAUUUUAAGUUAGGAUGAUGUUUGAGUCCAAUUUUUAAUUCCACAUUAAACUUACAAUGGUUAUUCUUGCAAACAUUCCUCAAACAGGGACAAAAGUUAACAUCAGCGCGAUAAAGUGUCAUGUUUUCGCAAAUCUCCACAUCCACAUUUUUUAGGAGUUAUUAAGUCUGUCACAUUUUUUAAAACAUAUUCUAUCUUUUAGUGUCCAUUAAUUUCUUCUUCUCUUUUUCUCUCAUUGAUGUCCAUGGGCGAAGUUAGAGAAGCGGAAGGAAGUUCAUCUGGAAUGUUGACAAUUUGAGCACUUUUUUACCUACAAUUUAGGAGGUUAAUAUAUAAAGUGCCGACAAAUAGAAAUGAAGGUACAAAGCAUGGGCGUAUUUAUAGUCCAAUAUAUGGACGCUUCGCCAAAUUAAGUAUUUUUUAUGUAUAUAUUUUAAGAAUUGAACUAAUAUUAUCUACUAGCACUCCUGCUCUAAAGAGGCUAAAUAAUACACUUGACUUGAUUGAAUAUUGUAUUAUUUACCUAGAGAAAUAGAGAGCAAUUCCCAUUUAAUAUUUUAUUUGUCCUUUUUUUAAUGAUGCACCUAUAAAUACCCUUUAUUUUGGCUUU
rnacentral:lncRNA from 1 species